rnacentral:rRNA from 1 species
GUAUUAAAGGUACUGCCUGCCCAGUGAAUUUUUUAACGGCCGCGGUAUUCUAACCGUGCAAAGGUAGCGUAAUCACUUGUCUCUUAAAUAGAGACUUGUAUGAAUGGCUAAAUGAGGACAGACCUGUCUCCUAUGGCCAAUCAGUGAAACUGAUCUCUCAGUCCAAAAGCUGAAAUAACCACAUAAGACGAGAAGACCCUGUGGAGCUUUAAACCAACUGCUAAUAAAUUAUACUAGUAGAAGGCUUUAAGUUGGGGCGACUUCGGAACAAAACAAAACUUCCGAGCACAGAACCACACUAUUCUUAUUAAGGCCAACAAGCCAAGACACACAAACGACCCAGUCAAACUGAUCUUCGAACCAAGUUACCCCAGGGAUAACAGCGCAAUCUUCUUCAAGAGUUCAUAUCGACAAGAAGGCUUACGACCUCGAUGUUGGAUCAGGACACCCAAAUGGUGUAGCCGCUAUUAAAGGUUCGUUUGUUCAACGAUUAACAGUCCUACGUGAUCUGAGUUCAGACCGGAGAAAUCCAGGUCGG